CAGGGAGACAACAAAAUGUUUAAUAUUAUUAUUUUGUCACCUUAGGUCGAUCGGUAUCUCACGUUUUUAAUUUAUUAAGAAUUUCAUUUCCUAAGUUUUUCUAGGUCACACCCAUUAUUUUUCCUGGGCCAUUAGCUCAGGUGGUUAGAGCGCACCCCUGAUAAGGGUGAGGUCCCUGGUUCAAGUCCAGGAUGGCCCAUAUCUCUGUGUUGGGGGUAUAGCUCAGUUGGUAGAGCGCCUGCUUUGCAAGCAGGAUGUCAGCGGUUCGAGUCCGCUUACCUCCACUGAUUAACACCUCUUCCAUAACCGGUAGAAAGGAAAAGUUUUGGGUUGUGAUCAAAUUCUGAAAGAAGCUAGCUUCCUAAUGAAUUCAUUAAGAUGCUGGACUCAUUGAAUUAAUUUCAUUGUUUUCAGAGAACCUUGACAACUGCAUAGAUUAUUUUUAAAGACAAUAAGCGUCUCUAAUGAUGCAGAUUUAUUAUUUUUGCAAAUGCAUUAAUAACAAUUCUAUUAAGCUGAUGCUUCAAUUUUUGAAGUUAUU
rnacentral:tRNA from 1 species